rnacentral:lncRNA from 1 species
GCUGAGAGUUCGCGUCUCUCCCGCUCUGCACUGUGCUGAGAGUACGCGUCUCUCCCGCUCUACACUGUGCUGAGAGUACGCGUCUCUCCCGCUCUGCACUGUGCUGAGAGUACGCAUCUCUCCCGCUCUGCCCUGUGCUGAGAGUACGCGUCUCUCCCGCUCUGCACUGUGCUGAGAGUACGCAUCUCUCCCGCUCUGCCCUGUGCUGAGAGUAUGCGUCUCUUUCGCUCUGUACAGCGGGAGAAUAUGAGACACUAUGAAUUGCCUGGGAGCAAUAAACAAUGAGCAGUGGAGCAAUACGCCAACACAUUUACCAUGAAUACCAUCAAAAAUCGACCUGAAACUGACAUUCAAUCAGCUCUGAAAAAACUUCAGAACUUAUCAGAAUCAAAGCCUGUGGUUCUGGUGGUUCUUCAUCACACAUUUGAUCCGGAGAUAACAGUACCAGACAGCAGCAGGAGUGUGAACAGAGUAAAUACUCUCACUGUGGACUGUCUGUUUCAUGAGGAUAGAGGAUUACUGCAGUACUACAGGAACCAGGAAGCUCUGGAGAAAGUUACACACUGGAUCAAACAUCUGCAGAAGAAAGGAACUUCUGAAAUGAGAGAAGUAAAAGCAGCUACAACAGGAAAUGCAGAGUUAAUCAAGAAACUUCAGAGAAAUUAUAAACUCCUCAAGCAACUAAAGGAAAUACCAUCAAUCAAGAAAACAAUUCCAGCACAACUACUUAGUGAACUAGAAAGAGAACUGAAAGAUCAUCCUUUAUUGCUGGUUCAGAGUGUGGAUGACCAGAAGACCUGCGUAUGCUCCUGAAAUAAUUCUUAUCUUAAUACUGUUUUUCACAUCAGUUGGUAUUGAUAUGUAUUACAACAUAACUUGAAUAAAGGUUCCUUUUAACUCA